UAUGAACUCCUGCUAUGGCACACAUGUGGAGGUCAGAGGACAACCUAUAGGAAUCAGUUCUCUCCUUGCAUGGUGUGGUCCUGGGGAGUGAACUCAGAUCAUCUGGCUUAGUGCUUAUUCCUUACCUUUCCCAGGAGCAACAGGCAUCCCUGGGGAUGAAGGCACUGUUCCUCAGAACCAGGAAGCUGAGUCUCAUGUCCCAUUGAAGAGGAGCUCUGUGGAGAGGAGCUGUGUGACCAGCGGGUUACAUCCCCCGGCAAGCCCAGACUUAGGAAACUCCAGUCUCUUAAGGGAGCAGCCCUCACUGUUCCCAGAACUGGUGGAGGACUGUAUCUACCCUCCCAGAAAGUCUGCUUUCUGCUCCCUCCCUUUUUGCAUUUUUAAAAGAUUUAUUUUCA